GACAGAGGGUGCAAACGUUGCUCGGAAUUACUGGGCGUAAAGGGCGUGUAGGCGGUCAGGUAAGUCGGGCGUGAAAUCCCUGGGCUCAACCCAGGAACUGCACUCGAAACUACUUGUCUUGAGUACCGGAGAGGAAAGCGGAAUUCCUGGUGUAGAGGUGAAAUUCGUAGAUAUCAGGAGGAACACCAGUGGCGAAGGCGGCUUUCUGGACGGUAACUGACGCUGAGGUGCGAAAGCGUGGGGAGCAAACAGG
rnacentral:rRNA from 1 species